rnacentral:rRNA from 1 species
AGUGAACGCUGGCGGCGUGCUUAACACAUGCAAGUCGAACGAGAACGGAUUUUAGCUUGCUAAAAUUGUCAGCUAAGUGGCGCACGGGUGAGUAAUAUAUAGGUAACGUGCCCUAGAGAAGAGGAUAACGUUUGGAAACGAACGCUAAUACUCUAUAUGCCUUUAAAACAUAAGUUUGCAAGGGAAAUAUUUAUAGCUCUAGGAUCGGCCUGUACGGUAUCAGCUAGUUGGUGAGGUAAUGGCUCACCAAGGCAAUGACACCUAACUGGUUUGAGAGGAUGAUCAGUCACACUGGAACUGAGACACGGUCCAG